AUUGAACGCUGGCGGCAGGCUUAACACAUGCAAGUCGAGCGGGGACUUCGGUCCUAGCGGCGAACGGGUGAGGAAUGCUUGGGAAUCUGCCCAGUAGCGGGGGAUAACGUUUCGAAAGGAACGCUAAUACCGCAUACGCCCUACGGGGGAAAGGGGGGGAUCUUCGGACCUCUCACUAUUGGAUGAGCCCAAGUCGGAUUAGCUAGUUGGUGGGGUAAAGGCCUACCAAGGCGACGAUCCGUAGCUGGUCUGAGAGGAUGAUCAGCCCACACUGGAACUGAGACACGGUCCAGACUCCUACGGGAGGCAGCAGUGGGGAAUAUUGGACAAUGGGCGAAAGCCUGAUCCAGCCAUGCCGCGUGUGUGAAGAAGGCCUUCGGGUUGUAAAGCACUUUAAGCGAGGAGGAAUGGCUCUUGGUUAAUAACCUUGAGCAGUGACGUUACUCGCAGAAUAAGCACCGGCUAACUCUGUGCCAGCCGCCGCGGUAAAAC
rnacentral:rRNA from 1 species